GCAGAUUCCCAUUGGCUGGCUGGGGGAAAGGGGGCUCUUUCGUAGCCAUCUGUGAAAUCCAGCCCUUAUUUGAUACUCAGACGCUUGCGGGGCCUGUGGCAAACGGUACAGAGCCAGACUGGCUGGGUACCUGCUUCUGGGAAGUUCGAAACUGCCAGUCGAACCCAGGCGGGCUGAUUCUGAGCUCCCGUACCCCUUGGCAUCUGUAUUCCCCGACGGACGCUGCUGUGACGUAGAAUCCCCAGCUUUGCUUCUGUAGCUUCCACCCUCUGGAAACAUUCCCUAUUGCUCCCAUGGGUCUGGAAAUAAACCUGCCCCGAUGCCUUCGUUCAGGGGGCGAGCGAGCCCGUGUCUGGGGCCGGGAGCCCGAAUGCGCCUGGCUGCAGACAGCCGAGCUGGUGGAUCAGUCACUGCCGAGGAGCUCGGGAGCGGAGCAAAGGGACGUAAGGAGUUAAUAGCGCCCUGCACAGCUCUGUUUUGAAGGAGGAGAGGCCGAGCUGUCGGAGUCAGAAACAGCUGCACUGAGAGCAGUGGGAAAGGCGCUGAUCCGGGCGCGGUGACGGCAUCUGGAGUAACCGGAGCCUGGAGGGCGGGGAGGCUGUGUUUUGUUCCUGCAGAAAUACCGAGGAUAUGUUUUCAAGCAGCAAAGCCGGCUGAGGAGGGGACUAGUGGGCGAAAGAGGCCUUCCCCUCUCAGGGGCUGGUUCGGAAUGGCUGGGGCUGGCCAGUGUCUCAGGCCACGUCUCCACUGGAUCAGAGGUGUGACGGCUGCCUGCGUGACGUUCCCGAGCUAGCUUUACUGGAGCUUGGGGCACAAGCGGUGAAGCCGUGGCAGUGCAGGCUAGCCGUUGGACUUCAUGUGCCCAGGGUCCCCUGUGCUGCCGCUGCCGCUUCACUGCUGUUGGUACCUGCUAGCGCGGGUGUGUGUUCGCAUGUCGCUGUCACACCUCUCACUGCGGUGGAGACAGACCCUUAGCGCUGUCACUGCCCCGUGUGGCUGCCUGAGCUCUUGGCCUGCAGUAAGUUUUAUGCUGCGCCCAUCACCAAGCUCUUUGGCGGCCAGCGUGGAAUAGAUUGCUGGCUCUCAGACGGGCUCCUGGUGAUCAGAGUAGGACAGGAUUCUCGCCAGGAAGGAGUCUUGUUCCCUGCCUCCUCGCAGCCGUUCCCUGGAUGUGGGCACCUCUCAUAAUCAGCCUCUACUUACAGUUCCCUGCCCAACUACCGGGGAACUGCUCCCACCACAGAGCCAGGCUUGGGUGGGACUGCAGGGAGCAAGUUUCUUCAUGUGCGAAGAGCGAAUGGGGGCUGCCGUCUCGAGCAGCGCUGAUUGUGGAUCAAGAGUGCAGCGCAAGUAGGAAGGACAAAACUGCAGGAGAGAGCGCAGUGUGCGUAUGCAUCUCCUCUGACAAUCUGCACAAAGCGGGACACAACAUGGCUGCCUCUCGCUCUGGGCAGGCAGCCGUGUGCUUGGCGAGUUCAGGAAGGGAUUCCUGCACCCCCCUUGAAUCAUAUUCAGGCCACCCGUCGUUGUGUUCCCUGCAAACCCUAGACUCAGAGACUUUAAGGCCAGAAAGACCCAUCGUGAUCAUCUAGUCUGACCCUCUGCACAUCGCAGGCCACAAAAGCUCACCCAUCCCACCUGCAAUAGACCCAGAGCCUCUGGCAAGUUACUGACAUCCUCCGACCCUCUCCGCACACCAGAAAGGACCGUACACAUCCAGCACACGGAUCUGGCGUUGGGGUCUGACCGUGCACUCAAAACAGGCGGGAGCAUGGAGGGAGCUGGCAGGGGGAUGCAGACACCGGUCGAUACCUAACGCCUGGAUGCUCUCAAUAAACAUUCCCUGACACGAACAGAGCCAGCUCUGCAUUCUGAGAGCGCCGGCACCCAAGACGCCCCCGGCUGCCUCUUGCAUCGCCACCUGACCUGGUGCAGGGGCCAUUUCGCUUCCCCAUCCACCCCCCCACCACGGUGACCUUGGCCCGCCGAGGGGGUGACGGCUGAAUGUGUUGCAGGGAGGGAGGGCCUGGCUCUGCGAAGCCCUGCAUAGCUUGGGCCCUGGCUGUCUGCGAGAGCGCCCUACGGUCAGCCAGCAUGCCUGCGCCAACAGCCUCGGAUCGAGGUGUUGGGAAAGGUCGUGCAUCUCCUCCCGUCCCAGUCGCUGCACCUGUGACCUGGCAGGGUGUUCUCCACCCGGGGAUCCUGCCUCGGCCUGAGACAGCUGCCGUCUCUUGACAUUUGGACCUUGCUUCUGCUCGGUGGGAGUAAAAGCAGUGCCCUUGGCCUGCACUCAGGAGCAACCCUAUAAUAACAAACCAGUAUGUGAAGCCCUGCGCUUGUGAACGACCCUACAAUAACAAACCAGCAGGUACAGCCCAGCACUUAGUUGCAACCUAACAAUAACAAACCAAUGUGUGUGGCCUGGAACUCAAGAGCAACCCUCUAAUAACAAACCAGCAUGUGCAGCCCAGCACUUGUGAGCGACCCUACAAUAACAAACCGGCACGUGCAGCCCAGCUGUUGCGAGCAACCCCACAAUAACAAACCAGCACGUGCAGCCCAGCACUUGUGAGCGACCCUACAAUAACAAACCAGCAUGUGCAGCCCAGCACUUGUGAGCGACCCUACAAUAACAAACCAGCAUGUGCAGCCCAGCUCUUGUGAGCGACCCUACAAUAACAAACCAGCAUGUGCAGCCCAGCUCUUGCGAGCGACCCCACAAUAACAAACCAGCAUGUGCAGCCCAGCUCUUGCCAGCGACCCUACAAUAACAAACCAGCACAUGCAGCCCAGCACUUGCGAGCGACCCUACAAUAACAAACCAGCAUGUGCAGCCCAGCUCUUGCGAGUGACCCUACAAUAACAAACCAGCAUGUGCAGCCCAGCACUUGCGAGUGACCCUACAAUAACAAACCAGCACGUGCAUCCCAGCUCUUGCGAGCGACCCUACAAUAACAAACCGGCACGUGCAGCCUAGCACUUGUGAGCGACCCUACAAUAACAAACCAGCACGUGCAGCCCAGCUCUUGCCAGCGACCCUACAAUAACAAACCGGCACAUGCAGCCCAGCACUUGCGAGCGACCCUACAAUAACAAACCAGUGCAGGAGGAAGAACAUCAAUAAGGAAAUGUGUGACUCUCAAAGUGCAGGGGCUGCUCCGGGUGAAAAUGAGGAGCAAUCGCUUUAAAACGUCAGCAUGAGCCGACAAGCCUCCGUGCGG